rnacentral:rRNA from 1 species
CAGGUUUAACGAUCGCCCUGUGCCAAGCAGCCGCGGUAAUUCCAGCUCCAAUAGCGUAUAUUAAAGUUGUUGUGGUUAAAAAGCUCGUAGUUGGAUCUCGGCGGACUGAGGGCGGUUUGCUUGCUAGUAUUACUGCCCUAUAGUCCGUAGUUUUGCCAGAGGUUUCGGGGUGCUCUUAAUCGAGUGUCCCGGGAUGCUGGCAGGUUUACUUUGAAAAAAUUAGAGUGCUCAAAGCAGGCUAUUACGCCUGAAUAUUCGUGCAUGGAAUAAUAGAAUAGGAAGUCGUUUCUAUUUUGUUGGUUUUCGGAAAUCGACUUAAUGAUUAAUAGGGACAGUCGGGGGCAUUUGUAUUCAAACGACAGAGGUGAAAUUCUUGGACCGUUUGAAGACAAACUACUGCGAAAGCAUUUGCCAAGAAUGUUUUCAUUAAUCAAGAACGAAAGUUAAAGGUUCGAAGGCGAUUAGAUACCGCCCUAGUUUUAACCAUAAACGAUGCCAGCUAGCGAUCUGCGGACGUUUUUUUUGUAGACUCCGCAGGAAGCUUCCGGGAAACCAAAGCAUUUGGGUUCCAGGGGAAGUAUGGUUGCAAAGCUGAAACUUAAAGGAAUUGACGGAAGGGCACCACCAGGAGUGGAGCCUGUGGCUUAAUUUGACUCAACACGGGAAAUCUCACCAGGCCCGGACACUGGAAGGAUUGACAGAUUGAUAGCUCUUUCUUGAUUCGGUGGGUGGUGGUGCAUGGCCGUUCUUAGUUGGUGGAGUGAUUUGUCUGGUUAAUUCCGAUAACGAACGAGACUCUGUCCUGCUAAAUAGUGUCUGCUUCUCUUUUGAGCAGACAAUUCUUCUUAGAGGGACUGGCGACUCUUAGUCGCACGAGAUUGAGCAAUAACAGGUCUGUGAUGCCCAAGGGCGAAUCGCGCGGCUAAUCAUCGC